CCUCGGGCCUCGUACGACGUUGCCCUGUGAACCUCGUCAGGAUCGGAAGAUAGCAGCGAUAAGCAGUCCGCGCGGGUGAUACGAGUCGUCUGAGUGAG
rnacentral:SRP_RNA from 1 species